rnacentral:rRNA from 1 species
GUGGGGAAUCUUGCGCAAUGGGCGAAAGCCUGACGCAGCCAUGCCGCGUGGAUGAUGAAGGUCUUAGGAUUGUAAAAUCCUUUCACCGGUGAAGAUAAUGACUGUAGCCGGAGAAGAAGCCCCGGCUAACUUCGUGCCAGCAGCCGCGGUAAUACGAAGGGGGCUAGCGUUGCUCGGAUUUACUGGGCGUAAAGGGCGCGUAGGCGGACAUUUAAGUCAGGGAUGAAAUCCCGGGGCUCAACCUCGGAACUGCCUUUGAUACUGGGUGUCUUGAGUAUGAGAGAGGUGUGUGGAACUCCGAGUGUAGAGGUGAAAUUCGUAGAUAUUCGGAAGAACACCAGUGGCGAAGGCGACACACUGGCUCAUUACUGACGCUGAGGCGCGAAAGCGUGGGGAGCAAACAGGAUUAGAAACCCGGGUAGUCC